rnacentral:tRNA from 1 species
AGCUCAGUUGGUAGAGCAUCUCCCUUUUAAGGAGAGGGUCCUGGGUUCGAGCCCCAGC